rnacentral:tRNA from 13 species
GUCUCUACGGCGCAGUCAGCUAGCGUGUUCGGCUGUUAACCGAAAGGUUAGUGGUUCGAGCCCACCUAGAGAGA